UACGUAGGGUGCAAGCGUUAAUCGGAAUUACUGGGCGUAAAGCGUGCGCAGGCGGUUCGCUAAGACAGAUGUGAAAUCCCCGGGCUUAACCUGGGAACUGCAUUUGUGACUGGCGGGCUAGAGUAUGGCAGAGGGGGGUAGAAUUCCACGUGUAGCAGUGAAAUGCGUAGAGAUGUGGAGGAAUACCGAUGGCGAAGGCAGCCCCCUGGGCCAAUACUGACGCUCAUGC
rnacentral:rRNA from 1 species